CCCUGAGUGGUGCAAAUGGUUAAUGCACUCAGUUGCUAACUGAAAGGUUGGAGGUUCAAAUCCACCCAGAGGAA
rnacentral:tRNA from 1 species